rnacentral:lncRNA from 1 species
AAAGAAGAACAUCACAUAUAAUGACAAAGUGUAUAGAGAUAAAUGUCACAAGUAUCAUUAUUACAUAGCGGAAGUAUCUUACAAAAAUAGAUGAUAACAAUACAGUGAACUAAAUAUUAUUCCUUGGCUCCAUAAAGCUCACUGGGAGACGCCACCUAGAUAAGCUCGUACUCUUCGUUGUAGGCCUCCUCCUGGACCAACUGUUCUUCUCCUAUGGAGGGGUUUAUAUAUCGCAAGAGUGAGCUCGCAAAAGAUCAUAGCUCAACAAGUUAUGGGGAAUAAUGUGCAUGAACUCACCAAAGGUGGGAGUUCAUGUGAAGUGUAAUGCUGAUCAACAAAUAAUGGUUAAAGCUGAGCAUUGCUUUUAAUAAGUUGGUCAAAUUUUAUUAGGAGUUACUAAAUUUAAGUAUAUGCCAAACCAGAGUAAUAAUAGAUCAAAAUUAAUAAUAAACCACUGCGAUGCAAAUGUGAAAGGGAAUUAGGCUUCCACCUAGUUCCUAAAUAAUUUUGGUGGUUGAAUUGCCCAACACAAAUAAUUGGUCUAACUAGUUUGCUCUAGUGUAUAAGUUUUACAGGUGUAAAAGGUUCACACUUAGCCAAUAAAAAGAUCAAGUAUAGGAUUCAACAAAGGAGCAAAGGGACAACCGAAGGCACCUCUGGUCUGGGGCACCGGACUGUCCGGUGUACACCGGACAGUGUCUGGUGCACCACCGGACAAUGUCCGGUGCACCAGAGGACUCCAACUCAAACUUGCCACCUUCGGGAAUUUCCAGAGGCACUCCGCUAAAAUUCACCGGACUGUCCGGUGUACACCGGACAGUGUCCGGUGCUCCAAAGAAGAGCCGCCUCAGGAACUCGCCAGCCUCGGGAAAACGCAGUGGCUGCUCCGCUAUAAUUCACCGGACAUGUCCGGUGUACACCGGACUAUCCGGUGAACCAGCAGAGCAACGGCUACUUCGCGCCAACGGUCACCUGCAGGCGCAUUUAAUGCGCGCCAGAAGCGCGCAGAAGUCAGGCACGCGCGCGCUGGCACACCGGACAUUGAACAAUACAUGUCCGGUGUGCACCGGACAUCCAGGCGGGCCCAGAAGACAGAAGCUCCAACGGUCGGAAUCCAACGACAUUGGUGACGUGGCUGGCGCACCGGACUGUCCGGUGCACCAUACGACAGACAGCCCCACCAAACGGCUAGUUUGGUGGUUGGGGCUAUAAAUACCCCAACCACCCCACCAUUCAUUGUAUCCAAGUUUUCCAGCUUCCAACCACUAUACAAGAGCUAGCAUUCAUUGCAAAGCACACCAAAAGAGAUCAAAUCCUCUCCCAACUCCACACAAAGCCUAAGUGACUAGAGAGAGUGAUUUGUAGUGUUCAUUUGAGCUCUUGCGCUUGGAUCGCUUCUUUUCUUUGGCAUUCUUUCUUGUGAUCAAACACUCACUUGUAAUUGAGGCAAGAGACACCAAUUGUGUGGUGGUCCUUGCGGGAAGUUUGAUUCCCAAGUGAUUUGAGAAGAGAAGCUCACUCGGUCCAAGGGACCGUUUGAGAGAGGGAAAGGGUUGAAAAAGACCCGGCCUUUGUGGCCUCCUCAACGGGGAGUAGGUUUGCGAGAACCAAACCUCGGUAAAACAAAUCCGUGUGUCUCACUUCUUAUUUGCUUGAGAUUUGUUUUGCACCCUCUCUCGCGGACUCGUUCUUAUUUCUAACGCUAACCCGGCUUGUAGUUGUGUUUAUAUUUGUAAAUUUCAGUUUCGCCCUAUUCACCCCCCCUCUAGGCGACUAUCAAUUGGUAUCAAAGCCCGGUGCUUCAUUAGAGCCUAACCGCUCGAAGUGAUGUCGGGAGAUCACGCCAACAAGGAGAUGGAGACCGGCGAAAAGCCCACUACAAGCCACCGGAGCACUUCAUCGGGAGAGUCCCGUACCAAGAGGAAGGAGAAGAAAGACUCCUCCAAAGGGAAGGAGAAGAAGAAGGACUCCUCCAAAGGGAAGGAGAAGAAAUCUUCUUCACACAAAGAGAAGAAGGAAAAAUCCUCUUCUCACAAGCCUCGUCGGAGUGGGGACAAGAAAAAGAAGAUGAGGAAAGUGGUCUACUACGAGACCGACUCUUCAUCAACAUCCACCUCCGGCUCCGACGCAGCGUCCAUCACUUCUAAGCGCCAAGAGCGCAAGAAGUAUAGUAAGAUUCCCCUACGCUACCCUCGCAUUUCUAAACAUACACCUUUACUUUCCGUCCCAUUAGGCAAACCGCCAACAUUUGAUGGUGAGGAUUAUGCUAGGUGGAGUGAUUUAAUGCGAUUUCAUCUAACCUCACUCCACAAAAGUAUAUGGGAUGUUGUUGAGUUUGGUGCACAUGUACCAUCCGUAGGGGAUGAAGACUAUGAUGAGGAUGGGGUGGCCCAAAUCGAGCACUUCAACUCUCAAGCAACAACAAUACUCCUCGCCUCUCUAAUAGAGAGGAGUAUAACAAAGUGCAAGGGUUGAAGAGCGCCAAGGAGGUUUGGGAUGUGCUCAAAACCGCACAUGAAGGAGAUGAGCUCACAAAGAUCACCAAGCGGGAGACGAUCGAGGGGGAGCUCGGUCGGUUCCGGCUUCGCAAAGGGGAGGAGCCACAAAACAUGUACAACCGGCUCAAGACCUUGGUGAAUCAAGUGCGCAACCUCGGGAGCAAGAAAUGGGAUGACCACGAAAUGGUUAAGGUUAUUCUAAGAUCUCUUAUUUUCCUUAACCCCACUCAAGUACAAUUAAUUCGUGGCAACCCAAGAUAUACACUAAUGACCCCCGAGGAAGUAAUCGGGAAUUUUGUAAGUUUUGAGUGCAUGAUCGAAGGCUCGAGGAAGAUCAACGAGCUUGAUGAUCCCUCCACAUCCGAAGCUCAACCCGUCGCAUUCAAGGCGACGGAGGAAAAGAAGGAGGAAUCUACACCAAGUAGACAACCAAUUGACGCCUCCAAGCUCGACAAUGAGGAAAUGGCGCUCGUCAUCAAGAGCUUCCGCCAAAUCCUCAAACAAAGGAGGGGAAAGACUACAAGCCCCGCUCCAAGAAGGUUUGCUACAAAUGUGGUAAGCCCGGUCAUUUUAUUGCAAAAUGUCCUAUAUCUAGUGACCGGGGCGACGACAAGAAGGGGAGAAGGAAGGAGAAGAAGAAAUACUACAAGAAGAGGGGCGGCGAUGCCCAUGUUUGUCGGGAGUGGGACUCCGACGAAAGCUCUAGCGACUCCUCCUCCGACGAGGACGCCGCCAACAUCGCCGUCACCAAGGGACUUCUCUUCCCCAACGUCGGCCACAAGUGCCUCAUGGCAAAGGACAACAAAAAGAAGAAGGUUAAAUCUAAAUCCUCCACUAAAUAUGAAUCCUCUAGUGAUGAAAAUGUUAGUGAUGAGGAAGAUAACUUGCACACUCUUUUUGUCAACCUCAACAUGCAACAAAAAGAGAAACUUAAUGAAUUGAUUAGUGUCAUUCAUGAAAAGGAUGAUCUCUUGGACACCCAAGAGGACUUCCUUAUUAAAGAAAAUAAGAAGCAUGUUAAGGUUAAAAAUGCUUAUGCUCUAGAAGUAGAGAAAUGUGAAAAAUUAUCUAGUGAGCUAAGCACUUGCCAUGAGACAAUAGACAACCUUAAAAAUGAAAAUGCUAAUUUAUUAGCUAAGGUUGAUUCCCAUGUUUGUAAUGUUUCAAUUACCAAUUCUAGAAAUAAUGAUGAUGAUUUACUUGCUAGGAUUGAAGAAUUGAACAUUUCUCUUGCUAGCCUUAGGAUUGAAAAUGAAAAAUUGCUUGCUAAGGCUAAAGAUUUUGAUGUUUGCAAAGCUACUAUUUCCGACCUUAGAACUAAGAAUGACAUGUUACAUGCUAAGGUUGUAGAAUUAAAAUCUUGCAAACCCUCUACAUCUACCGUUGAGCAUGUAUCUAUAUGUACUAGAUGUAGAGAUGUUGAUAUUAAUGCUAUUCAUGAUCACAUGUCUUUAAUUAAACAACAAAAUGAUCAUAUAGCAAAAUUAGAUGCUAAAAUUGCCGAGCAUAACUUAGAGAAUGAAAAAUUUAAAUUUGCUAGAAGUAUGCUCUAUAGUGGGAGACGCCCUGGAUUGGCUUCCAAAGGGGAGACAAUGUCAAACCUAGUGCCCCUCCUAAAAAAUUAUCUAAUUUUGUUAAGGGCAAGGCUCCCAUGCCUCAGGAUAACGAGGGUUACAUUUUGUACCCUGCCGGUUAUCCCGAGAGCAAGAUUAGGAGAAUUCACUCUAGGAAGUCUCACUCUGGCCCAAAUCAUGCUUUUAUGUAUAAGGGUGAGACAUCUAGUUCUAGGCAACCAACCCGUGCUAAGUUGCCUAAGAAAAGAACUCCUAAUGCAUCAAAUGAUCAUGGCAUUUCAUUCAAAACUUUUGAUGCAUCAUAUGUUUUAACUAACAAAUCCGGCAAGGUAGUUGCCAAGUUUGUUGGGGGCAAACACAAGGGCUCCAAGACUUGUGUUUGGGUACCCAAAGUUCUUGUUUCUAAUGCCAAAGGACCCAAAACCGUUUGGGUACCUAAAGUCAAGAACUAAAAUUGUUUUGUAGGUUUAUGCAUCCGGGGGCUCAAGUUGGAUCAUCGACAGCGGGUGCACAAACCACAUGACAGGGGAGAAGAAAAUGUUCUCCUCCUAUGAGAAAAACCAAGUUCCCCAACGAGCUAUCACAUUCGGGGAUGGAAAUCAAGGUUUGGUCAAAGGCUUGGGUAAAAUAGCUAUAUCACCUGACCAUUCUAUUUCCAAUGUUUUUCUUGUAGAUUCAUUAGAUUACAAUUUGCUUUCCGUAUCUCAAUUGUGCAAAAUGGGCUACAACUGUCUCUUUACUGAUGUAGGUGUCACUGUCUUUAGAAGAAGUGAUGAUUCAAUAGCAUUUAAGGGCGUGUUAGAGGGUCAGCUAUACUUAGUAGAUUUUGAUAGAGCUGAACUCGACACAUGCUUAAUUGCUAAGACUAACAUGGGCUGGCUUUGGCAUCGCCGACUAGCACAUGUUGGAAUGAAGAAUCUUCACAAGCUUCUAAAGGGAGAACACAUUUUAGGACUAACAAAUGUUCAUUUUGAGAAAGACAGGAUUUGUAGCGCAUGCCAAGCAGGGAAGCAAGUUGGUGCCCAUCAUCCACACAAGAAUAUCAUGACGACCGAUAGGCCGCUUGAGCUACUCCACAUGGAUCUAUUCGGCCCGAUUGCUUACAUAAGCAUCGGCGGGAGUAAGUAUUGUCUUGUAAUAGUGGAUGAUUAUUCUCGCUUCACUUGGGUAUUCUUUUUGCAGGAAAAAUCUCAAACCCAAGAAACCUUAAAGGGAUUCUUGAGACGAGCUCAAAACGAGUUCGGCUUAAGGAUCAAGAAAAUUAGAAGCGACAACGGGACAGAGUUCAAGAACUCACAAAUUGAAGGCUUCCUUGAGGAGGAGGGCAUCAAGCAUGAGUUCUCUUCUCCCUACACUCCACAACAAAAUAGUGUAGUGGAGAGGAAGAAUCGAACUCUAUUGGACAUGGCAAGAACCAUGCUUGAUGAGUACAAGACUUCGGAUCGGUUUUGGGCCGAGGCGGUCAACACCGCUUGCUACGCCAUCAACCGAUUAUAUCUACACCGAAUCCUCAAGAAGACAUCAUAUGAACUCCUAACCGGUAAAAAGCCCAACAUUUCAUAUUUUAGAGUCUUUGGUAGCAAAUGCUUUAUUCUUGUUAAAAGAGGUAGAAAAUCUAAAUUUGCUCCUAAGACUGUAGAAGGCUUUUUACUAGGAUAUGAUUCAAACACAAGGGCAUAUAGAGUCUUUAACAAGUCCACUGGACAAGUUGAAGUUUCUUGUGACGUUGUGUUUGAUGAGACUAACGGCUCUCAAGUAGAGCAAGUUGAUCUUCAUGAGAUAGGUAUUGAAGAGGCUCCGUGCAUCGCGCUAAGGAACAUGUCCAUUGGGGAUGUGUGUCCUAAGGAAUCCGAAGAACCUCUAAAUGCACAAGAUCAACCAUCCUCCUCCACGCAAGCAUCUCCACCGACUCAAAAUGAGGAUGAAGCUCAAGUUGAUGAAAUAGAAGAUCAAGCAAAUGAGCCACCUCAAGAUGACGGCAAUGAUCAAGGGGGAGAUGCAAAUGAUCAAGGCAAGGAGGAUGAAGAGCAAAGGCCGCCACACCCAAGAGUCCACCAAGCAAUCCAACGAGAUCACCCCGUCGACACCAUCCUCGGCGACAUUCAUAAGGGGUAACUACUAGAUCCCGUAUUGCACAUUUUUGUGAGCAUUACUCUUUUGUUUCCUCUAUUGAGCCACACAGGGUAGAGGAAGCACUCCAAGAUUCGGAUUGGGUGGUGGCGAUGCAAGAGGAGCUCAACAACUUCACUAGGAAUGAGGUGUGGCAUUUAGUUCCACGUCCUAAUCAAAAUGUUGUAGGAACCAAAUGGGUCUUCCGCAACAAGCAAGAUGAGCAUGGUGUGGUGACAAGGAACAAAACUCGACUUGUGGCCAAGGGAUACUCCCAAGUCAAAGGUUUGGAUUUCGGUGAAACUUAUGCACCCGUAGCUAGGCUUGAGUCAAUUCGCAUAUUAUUGGCCUAUGCUACUUACCAUGGCUUUAAGCUUUAUCAAAUGGACGUGAAAAGUGCCUUCCUCAAUGGACCGAUCAAGGAAGAGGUCUAUGUUGAGCAACCUCCCGGCUUUGAAGAUAGUGAGUACCCUAACCAUGUUUAUAAACUCUCUAAGGCGCUUUAUGGGCUUAAGCAAGCCCCAAGAGCAUGGUAUGAAUGCCUUAGAGAUUUUCUUAUCACUAAUGGCUUCAAAGUCGGAAAGGCCGAUCCUACGCUCUUUACCAAAACACUUGAGAAUGAUUUGUUUGUAUGCCAAAUUUAUGUUGAUGAUAUUAUAUUUGGGUCUACUAACGAGUCUACAUGUGAAGAGUUUAGUAGGAUCAUGACACAAAAGUUCGAGAUGUCUAUGAUGGGGGAGUUGAAGUAUUUCUUAGGAUUUCAAGUAAAGCAACUUCAAGAGGGCACCUUCAUUAGCCAAACGAAGUAUACUCAAGACAUUCUAAACAAGUUUGGGAUGAAGGAUGCCAAGCCCAUCAAAACACCCAUGGGAACUAAUGGGCAUCUCGACCUCGACACGGAAGGUAAGUCCGUGGAUCAAAAGGUAUACCGGUCGAUAAUAGGUUCUUUACUCUAUUUAUGUGCAUCUUGACCGGAUAUUAUGCUUUCCGUAUGCAUGUGUGCAAGAUUCUAAGCCGACCCUAAGGAAGCUCACCUUACGGCCGUAAAACGAAUCUUGAGAUAUUUGGCUUAUACUCCUAAGUUUGGGCUUUGGUAUCCUAGGGGAUCCACUUUUGAUUUAAUUGGUUAUUCGGAUGCCGAUUGGGCGGGGUGCAAAAUCAAUAGAAAGAGCACAUCGGGGACUUGUCAGUUCUUGGGAAGAUCCUUGGUGUCUUGGGCUUCAAAAAAGCAAAAUUUGGUCGCUCUUUCCACCGCUGAAGCCGAGUACAUUGCCGCAGGCCAUUGUUGCGCGCAAUUGCUUUGGAUGAGGCAAACCCUGCGGGACUACGGUUACAAAUUAACCAAGGUCCCUUUGCUAUGUGAUAAUGAGAGUGCAAUCAAGAUGGCGGAUAAUCUCGUCGAGCAUAGCCGCACUAAACACAUAGCCAUUCGGUAUCACUUUUUAAGGGAUCACCAACAAAAGGGAGAUAUCGAGAUUUCUUAUAUUAACCCUAAAGAUCAAUUAGCCGAUAUCUUCACCAAGCCUCUUGAUGAACAAACUUUUAACAAACUUAGGCAUGAGCUCAAUAUUCUUGAUUCGCGCAACUUCUUUUGCUAACUUCCACACAUAGCUCAUUUGUAUACCUUUGAUCAUGUCUCUUUCAUAUGCUAUGACUAAUAUGUUUUUCAAGUCUAUUUCAAACCAAGUCAUAGGUGUAUUGAAAGGGAAUUGGAGUCUUCGGCGAGAAAGCAUGAGCACUAAGCAAAAGGACUUUGUCUUUGGUAUAAUCUUAACUCAUUUAUUUUUUGACCAAAGGGGAAGAAAGUAAUUCGAGGGCUCUAAUGAUUCCGUUUUUGGCGAUUCAUGCCAAAGUGGGAGAAAGUAUGAGCCCAAAGCAAAAGGACCGCACCACCACCAAUUUCAAAAACUUAGCUUUUUAAAGAGUAUUUUCAAUUGGUAUCUUAUUGUGUUCAAAAGGGGGAGAAAGUAGUAUUUCAAAAAUGAUAUAUCAAAACCCUCUUGAACACUAAGAGGAGGAUCUCAUUUAGGGGGAGUUUUGUUUAGUCAAAGGAAAAGCAUUUGAAACAGGGGGAGAAAAUUUCAAAUCUUGAAAAUACUUUGCAAAAUCUUAUUCAUUUACCUUUGACUUUUUGCAAAAGAACUUUGAAAAAAAUUUUACAAAAUAGUUUGCAAAAACAAAACAUGUGGUGCAAGCGUGGUCCAAAAUGUUAAAAAUAAAGAAACGAUCCAUGCAUAUCUUGUAAGUAUUAAUAUUGGCUCAAUUCCAAGCAACCUUUGCACUUACAUUAUGCAAACUAGUUCAAUUAUGCAUUUCUAUACUUGCUUUGGUUUGUGUUGGCAUCAAUCACCAAAAAGGGGGAGAUUGAAAGGGAAUUAGGCUUUCACCUAGUUCCUAAAUAAUUUUGGUGGUUGAAUUGCCCAACACAAAUAAUUGGUCUAACUAGUUUGCUCUAGUGUAUAAGUUUUACAGGUGUAAAAGGUUCACACUUAGCCAAUAAAAAGAUCAAGUAUAGGAUUCAACAAAGGAGCAAAGGGACAACCGAAGGCACCUCUGGUCUGGGGCACCGGACUGUCCGGUGUACACCGGACAGUGUCCGGUGCACCACCGGACAAUGUCCGGUGCACCAGAGGACUCCAACUCAAACUUGCCACCUUCGGGAAUUUCCAGAGGCACUCCGCUAAAAUUCACCGGACUGUCCAGUGUACACCGGACAGUGUUCGGUGCUCCAAAGAAGAGCCGCCUCAGGAACUCGCCAGCCUCGGGAAAACGCAGUGGCUGCUCCGCUAUAAUUCACCGGACAUGUCCGGUGUACACCGGACUAUCCGGUGAACCAGCAGAGCAACGACUACUUCGCGCCAACAGUCACCUGCAGGCACAUUUAAUGCGCGCCAGAAGCGCGCAGAAGUUAGGCACGCGCGCGCUGGCACGCCGGACAUUGAACAGUACAUGUCCUGUGUGCACCGGACAUCCAGGCGGGCCCAGAAGACAGAAGCUCCAACAGUCGGAAUCCAACGACAUUGGUGAUGUGGCUGGCGCACCGGACAUGUCCGGUGUGCACCGGACUGUCCGGUGCACCAUACGACAGACAGCCCCACCAAACGGCUAGUUUGGUGGUUGGGGCUAUAAAUACCCCAACCACCCCACCAUUCAUUGUAUCCAAGUUUUCCAGCUUCCAACCACUAUACAAGAGCUAGCAUUCAUUGCAAAGCACACCAAAAGAGAUCAAAUCCUCUCCCAACUCCACACAAAGCCUAAGUGACUAGAGAGAGUGAUUUGUAUUGUUCAUUUGAGCUCUUGCGCUUGGAUCGCUUCUUUUCUUUGGCAUUCUUUCUUGUGAUCAAACACUCACUUGUAAUUGAGGCAAGAGACACCAAUUGUGUGGUGGUCCUUGCGGGAAGUUUGAUUCCCAAGUGAUUUGAGAAGAGAAGCUCACUCGGUCCAAGGGACCGUUUGAGAGAGGGAAAGGGUUGAAAAAGACCCGGCCUUUGUGGCCUCCUCAACAGGAAGUAGGUUUGCGAGAACCGAACCUCGGUAAAACAAAUCCGUGUGUCUCACUUCUUAUUUGCUUGAGAUUUGUUUUGCACCCUCUCUCGCGGACUCGUUCUUAUUUCUAACGCUAACCCGGCUUGUAGUUGUGUUUAUAUUUGUAAAUUUCAGUUUCGCCCUAUUCACCCCCCAUCUAGGCGACUAUCAAAAUGACCAGUUAAAUUUAAUUCCAUAAGUUACUCAUGUGAGGGUCCGAGUCGCUCAUGACUGUGAGCACAACUGAUAUACCAGUUUUACACAUUGCAGAGGUUGCGCAUCUUUACCCAUAAGUCAUGUUACCCAUCUGCCAAGGGGUCAUGAAUCCCAUACACCUCUACCAAGGAAGCGAGGCAGGGUAACAGUACGAGGCCUUUACAAAGUUCCACUAGCUUCAGAAAACCCGCUACAGUUUCUAGGAAGCGCAAUGCAGGGAUCGCCCGUCUGACAACCAUCACAACAAAAUCAACCCGAGAACCUCCCUACACCAACCACUCCCCUACUGCCCUUGCCCCUUUCGGGUAAGGUAGUCCUUCACUAGCUUUCCUAAUUAGUCAGCCAAGGGCGUCCCAUACCACCCUUGUGGUAGCACUAUUUUCUCGGGUGGUCGCUCCAUGUUCCAAUUAACAUAAUGAUCUUAUCAUGAAUAGCAAAUAACAAAUUGAUAAUAAAAGCAUGAUCAUGAAUAAAUAUGUAUCUCAAUACCCAAAACCACAUAAAGCAAUAGCAGGAACUACCCAAAAGUUUAGUGGUAAACAAGGUAUAAAGAUAGCCAAACUAGGGUAACCUAUUGGGUCCCAUAAAAAUUAACCUAAGCAGAUCAUAAUGAUUAACAAAACAUUAUUAGGUAAAUAGAAGUGAUCAAGGGCACAACUUGCCUUCAACGAGCUCCUGCUCAGCAGUCUCCACCUACUGAACACCUGAGUCCUUAGUG